rnacentral:ncRNA from 16 species
AUAAUAAAACAGGGUGUUGUAUCCCGUUAAUGCGAACGGGAUACUGAAGGGAAGUCCGGUGCAAAUCCGGCGCGGUCCCGCCACUGUGAUGGGGAUCUGCCUUGCACAAUGCCACUGUCCAGCACUUGAGAUGAAGUUUCGAGUGGGUGCCAUUCGAAAACUAACAGUUAAGUGCUAGGUGGGAAGGCGUAAGGCAGAGGUGAACCAGAGUGUCGCCUCUCACUCCCAAUGACGGGGGG